rnacentral:rRNA from 1 species
UACAGAGGUCUCAAGCGUUGUUCGGAUUCAUUGGGCGUAAAGGGUGCGCAGGCGGCGCGGUAAGUCGGGUGUGAAAUCUUGGAGCUUAACUCCGAAACUGCAUUCGAUACUGCCGUGCUUGAGGACUGGAGAGGAGACUGGAAUUUACGGUGUAGCGGUGAAAUGCGUAGAUAUCGUAAGGAAGACCAGUGGCGAAGGCGGGUCUCUGGACAGUUCCUGACGCUGAGGCACGAAGGCCAGGGGAGCAAACGGG